rnacentral:rRNA from 1 species
UACGGAGGGAGCUAGCGUUGUUCGGAAUUACUGGGCGUAAAGCGCACGUAGGCGGUUAUUCAAGUCAGAGGUGAAAGCCCGGAGCUCAACUCCGGAAUAGCCUUUGAAACUAGAUAACUUGAAUCCAGGAGAGGUGAGUGGAAUUCCGAGUGUAGAGGUGAAAUUCGUAGAUAUUCGGAAGAACACCAGUGGCGAAGGCGACUCACUGGACACGUAUUGACGCUGAGGUGCGAAAGCGUGGGGAGCAAACAGG